ACCCCCGUGGCCUAAUGGUUAAGGCUUUGAACUUCUAUUCACAACACUGAAUACGAGAUUCAAGGAUUGUGGGUUCGAGUCCCACCGGGGGUU